rnacentral:rRNA from 1 species
GCAAACUCCCAAACCCAUGCGUACAUACCGUGUCGUUGCUUCGGCGGGCUGUCGCCUCCCCCCGGGGGGUGCGGCCCCGGCCCGCGAGGGAGCCCGCCGGAGGUCUAAACUCUGUAUCUCAGCGAGUUGUCUUCUGAGUAUCUUGAAAAAAUCAAGUAAAAACUUUCAACAACGGAUCUCUUGGUUCUGGCAUCGAUGAAGAACGUAGCGAAAUGCGAUAAGUAAUGUGAAUUGCAGAAUUCAGUGAAUCAUCGAAUCUUUGAACGCACAUUGCGCCCGCCAGUAUUCUGGCGGGCAUGCCUGUCCGAGCGUCAUUUCACCCCUCAGGCCCAGCCUGGCGUUGGGGCGCUGCGCGGAAGCGCAGGCCCUCAAGUGCAGUGGCGAGCCGGCCGGAAACCCGAGCGUAGUAGAAAUCUCCGCCCCGGGAGCCCGGACGGCCUCCGCCGUUAAACGAGACGCGUAAAAACCGUCCUCCACAAGUUUGACCUCGGAUCAGGUAGGAAUACCCGCUGAACU